AGAGUUUGAUCCUGGCUCAGAACGAACGCUGGCGGCGUGCCUAACACAUGCAAGUCGAGCGCGAACGGAGCAAUCCUAGUAGAGCGGCGCACGGGUGCGUAACACGUGGGUAAUCUGCCUCGAAGCCCGGGAUAACCUGCCGAAAGGCAAGCUAAUACCGGAUAAGCCUCCGGGUUCUCGGAACCUGACGGAAAAGGUGG
rnacentral:rRNA from 1 species